GGGUUUAAUCCAAGCAGGAAUAUCUAACCGAUAAUUAGAUAAAAGAGGUUAAAAUCCUCUUAAACCCU
rnacentral:tRNA from 1 species